UACGUAGGGGGCAAGCGUUGUCCGGAAUCAUUGGGCGUAAAGAGCGUGUAGGCGGCCCGGUAAGUCCGCUGUGAAAGUCCAGGGCUCAACCCUGGGAUGCCGGUGGAUACUGUCGGGCUCGAGUCCGGAAGAGGAGUGUGGAAUUCCUGGUGUAGCGGUGAAAUGCGCAGAUAUCAGGAGGAACACCGGUGGCGAAGGCGGGUCUCUGGGCCGAUGAUUGACGCUGAGGAGCGAAAGCGUGGGGAGCGAACAGG
rnacentral:rRNA from 1 species